GGAGAGAUGUCCGAGAGGCCGAAGGAGCACGCUUGGAAAGUGUGUGUACCCUAACCGGGUACCGAGGGUUCGAAUCCCUCUCUCUCCG
rnacentral:tRNA from 1 species